CUGCUGUGACCGCAAAACUGUUUCUGUGGAAUUUUCUCCAGUGUGGUCAUCCUGCCUUCAGAGAUUUCUCCAGGACAUCACCUGUAUGAGGUACACAGUGUGAUGACACAUUCUAUGCUUUUCCUACUUGUCUCCACGUGAGUGUCUGGAGCUGCCCUUCAAGGAAAGCAAUAGAUGAAUGAUUCUGCCUUCCUGCUGAGAGGGAUGUGGGUCCUGCGGAUGGUCGGGGUGAAGCUUCCUCUCCUUUCUGCUGACAGCACUUCCUCAUUAAAUGCAGAGAUCUGCAAAAAGGGAAAAUAAAAACACAAGAAGAAAAA
rnacentral:lncRNA from 1 species